rnacentral:rRNA from 1 species
UACGGGGGGGCAAGCGUUGUUCGGAAUUACUGGGCGUAAAGGGCGCGUAGGUGGCCAACUAAGUCAGACGUGAAAUCCCUCGGCUUAACCGGGGAACUGCGUCUGAUACUGGAUGGCUUGAGUUUGGGAGAGGGACGCGGAAUUCCCGGUGUAGCGGUGAAAUGCGCAGAUAUCGGGAAGAACACCCGUGGCGAAGGCGGCUCUCUGGGACGGUACUGACGCUGAGACGCGAAAGCGUGGGGAGCGAACAGG